rnacentral:rRNA from 1 species
GACACGGCUGGCGGCGUGCCUAACACAUGCAAGUCGAGCGGGGUUGAAGCGAGGGGUAACUCGAGUUUCUACCUAGCGGCGGACGGUGAGUAACGCGUGGGCAACCUGCCUCAAGGACUGGGAUAACAGCUCGAAAGGGCUGCUAAUACCGGAUAAGCCUAUGGCCUCGCAUGGGGCCAUGAGCAAAGGGGAAACCCGCCUUGAGAUGGGCCCGCGUCCCAUCAGCUAGUUGGUGAGGUGAAGGCUCGACCAAGGCGACGACGGGUAGCCGGCCUGAGAGGGUGACCGGCCACACUGGGACUGAGACACGGCCCAGACUCCUACGGGGGGCAGCAGUGGGGAAUCUUGCACAAUGGGCGAAGCCUGAUGCAGCGACGCCGCGUGAGCGAAGAAGGCCUUCGGGUUGUAAAGCUCUGUCUGGAGGGACGAAGGAAGUGACGGUACCUCCGGAGGAAGCCACGGCUAACUACGUG